AGGUUAACCUUGAUCACGAAGGAGGUUCUUCCAGAGCGAGACUUGUUCAUUGCACUAGGGAUGAGUUGACCUCUGCGAUUAUCCCGAAUGUGGAUAACUCG
rnacentral:snRNA from 1 species